CGUUUACAGUAAAUGCUGAAGUAUUUUCGGACUCCCCAAAGCUCAUGAGGAGGUUCUGCUGUGUCAAAAGAGGGAGCAAUCAGGGGUCAGGUGUCUUGCUCAGGGACACUUCAAUAGGGGGCAGCCGGGGCUCAAACCGCCAACCUUGUGGUUCCCAGCACACCCUCGACCCUACUCCUGCGCCACGUUGACCCCUCAUCCCCCCAGUUGAAAUAAUUCUCCAUUUAUUUCAUUAUAAUGAUCUAACUAUCAAAUGAUACAAUAUCUCAAAAUAAUAAGUACUUGCUGCAUAACCCUGAGUGCAUAGUUUUAUGGAUACUGACAAACAAUAUUGUUUAGAUAAUGAGGUUUCAAAAUAAUGACAUCCGUUUACACCAAUUAGCGUGGAACUGAUUGGACUACAUUAUCUGUGGAUGUGACAUUUGAUCAUCAUUCUCUAUCAGACACUGUUUCUACCGUCCCAUGUACCACUUUUUCACCUCAUGCUGCAGGCCUUGUAAUGACAAUUCUGCCAACACCAAGAUGUGUGGUCGGGCGCAGGGCUCCCAUUGGCUCAUAUAAAGCAGCUCUCCUUGUAACCUUCCUUGAGGAGUUAGAUCAGGUCUGUAGAGCUGAUGAGGUGAUGUCAUUGUGGGGGACAAUGUUAGGUUCCUCCAUGCUCAAAUGGUGCAAGUAUGUUUUCAUGCACAUGCACAAUUUACCAGCCUGUGUUUGCCCCCAUACUCUCCUUUCCUUAGCCUGACUGAGGAAUUGUUCGCUCAUGGAGGUGGAAGGUGUACGAUAGAUGCCCUCGCCAACAAGUAACCCGUUUCCAGGCCUGGAUGACGCAUGCAACAACAUCACGCCGGACCAGUGUCAGGCCUGGAUUCCAGGAUGUUUGGCUGAUGAAAACAUCCAUUGUGAUGUGGAUCAGAACCUGUGGCCAGAUCCACAAGACCGGGUUAAUGAAAAUGUAAACGUGUGGUAAUAAAACCUUUUUUUCGGUCCCAGGUGAGGAACAGAGCUAAUUACUCAGAGCUAAUCUUUGGUUUGAUUCAAAUAAACCUACGUUGGGAUUUUAUUGCAUUUCAUAACAGUCAAAUUUUGUGCAAUGAUUCCGCUAUGUGUACUCUUCUUUCUACUACAGCAGUACUUUUACAGGGAUGUAUUUACAUUCUGUCAGGAACCGGUGUAGGCAGAGACAGGACUCAAAAAAAAAAAGACUUCCAGAAAUCCAAAAAUGUCCAGGGGCAAAAGCGCAGGCAGGGACCAGGAACAAGACACCACAGGAUCCACAAACAUGCAGACACUACAUCUGACAUUCAACAAUGACACGACAAGGGACAAGAGACACACAGGGCUUAAUUACUUUGGGAAGGUGCAGGUGAUUGGACACAGGUGGAAACAAUCAGACAAUCACAGGGGAUGACGGACCAGGCAUUUUGUACAGCAGUGUUGAAUGAUUGUACAAACAAC
ensembl:lncRNA